ACCAACUCAAUAGACGUGAGUUUGAGUAAGCUCUGGGAGUUGGUGAUGGAAAGGGAAGCCUGGAGUGCUGCCGUCCAUGGGGUCGCAAAGAGUCGGACAUGACUGAGCGACUGAACUGUCUGAGAAGUGCACGUAGAAUGGGAGUAUUGCUGUGGCCACACUGGGGAAAUAUAAUCACUCACAGAUAAUCUUUCAGGUUUUAUAUACAUACAGCCUCAUUCUUUUUUUCAACUUACUUAUUUGGCUGCACUGGGUCUUAGUUGCAGUAUGUGAGAUCUAGGUCCCUGACCAGGGAUCGAACCAGGCCCCCUGCAUUGGGAGCAUGGCGUCCUAGCUAUUGGACCACCAGAGAAGUCCCUGUCACAGCCUUGUUCUUUAAAAAAAAUUUUUUUUAAUAUCCAAAAGUACAAAGGAGAAAAACUGAUGUAUCACUUCCCAGGUACUCUUUUUUUUUUAGAUUAUAUGUCUACUUAGAAAAAUAACAAUAUUUUGCCCAAAAUAUAUGUCAGUAUUUUAAAUGCACCUUGCUUUUUUGUUUAAUAACAUAUCUUAAAAUUCAGGUGUUUUUUGGUUUUUUUUUUCCACUUCGGCAUGCAAGAUUGACUACAUUCUUUUAAAUGGUCAGAUAAUUCUUUUGUAUGUUUAACGUUUUUAUGUAUCCUUUAAGGUUUUUAACCAGACCCUCUAAUGAAAGACGUUUAAUUGGUCACCAGUUUGUUGCUAUUGUGACCAAUUAUGCAGGAAACAUCCUUGUACGUUUUCCUUUUCUUUGGCAUAUGUUUGCAUAUAUUUGUAAGGUAAGUUUUAUUUUGUUUUGUUUUUAUGUAUUUGGCUGCCGUGACGGGUCUUAGUUGCAGUAUGCAGGAUCUUCAUUGCGGGCACAGACUCUCUCUCUAGUUGUGCAUGGGCUUAGUUGCUCCAGAGAAAUGUGGGAUUUUAGUUCCCCAAACAGCAUCCCUGGAAUUGCAAGGCAGAUUCUUAACCACGAACCACCAGGGAAGUCCCUGUAUGGUAAAUUUUUAUUAACACAACCACCAGGAGAAAGGUCUUGAACAUUUAAAAAUUCAAAAUAUUCAUUGGAAAGGUUGAUCUGUUAUCUCUUCUCUUUUUAAAAAAAUACUUAUUUUUAAAAUUUUUAUUAUCUAUUUGGCUGUGCUAAGUCUUAGUUUCGGCAUGUGACUCUUCGUUGCAGUAUGUAGGAUCUAGUUCCCUGACCAAGGAUCAUAUCUGGGCCCCAUGCAUUGGGAGUGUGGAGUCUUAGCCCGUGGACCACCAGGGAACUGGACAUGACCUGGACCACAGGCAAGCGAUCAGAGAGGAUCUAACCUAGGAGAAGGCCCCAAACCACCUGAGCAGCGAGUCUUCUCCCAACAUGAAGAAGCUUGAAAAGGCCUGACUCAUCCAGCAGCCAGCCCCAGCCCAGCCCAGCCCAGUGCCUCAGGAAGAGUCAGCAAACAGCCUGUGUGGUUUCUUUCCAGUCCCAGCUUGCCUUGACCUGGUGGAAGGCAAGAAGUAGACACGCCACUCCUGGCCAGCUUGGGAAUGGUGGUGUCAGCACUCUGUCGAGGGCUGGGCACAAGCCCACACACCACACCCUCAGGGUGAGCCUGAGGGCGAGGUGAGGAGGCAUCUGCCAUUUCUGUCCAUUUGUUGUGGACCCAGGUAAUCAGGAAAAAUAGGAGGUGGACAGGUUCUGAACCUAUAGCCAGCUGAGGUCUUAGACUUGACCGUUCCCAUGUAUUCCCUCAGAGGUUGCCCACAUCACAGUUCACUUGGAAUUCUGUGACAGACCCAGCAGAAGGGACAGAAUGGUGCUUAAUAAAUGUUUCAGUGGA